rnacentral:rRNA from 1 species
UGCCAGCCGCCGCGGUAAUACCGGCGGUCCAAGUUGCAGCCAUAAUUAUUGGGUCUAAAACAUUCGUAGCUUGUCUUGUAAGUCUCUUGUGAAAUAUUAUCUCUCAAGGAUAAGGCGUGCAAGAGAUACUGCAAGACUAGAGACCGGAAGACGUAGCGAGUACGACCAAGGUAGUGGUAAAAUACGUUAAUCUUAGUUGGACUAACAAUGGCGAAGGCACACUACGAGGACGGAUCUGACAGUGAGGGGUGAAGGCCAGGGUCGCAAAACGGAUUAGAUACCCGUGUAGUCCUGGCAGUAAACACUGCACACUAAACAUCAGUACCUCCUCGAGAGGUAUUGGUGCUGUAGGGAAGCGAAGAGUGUGCUACCUGGGAAGUAUAGCCGCAAGGCCGAAACUUAAAGGAAUUGGCGGGGGAGUACUACAACGGGUGACGCGUGCGGUUCAAUUAGAUUCCACACCGUGAACCUCACCAGGAUCGACAGCAGAAUGAAGGUCAGUCUGAAGGGCUUACCUGACACGCUGAGAGGAGUUGCAUGGCCGACGUCAGCCUGUGCCGUGAGGUGACCUGUUAAAUCAGGUAACAGGCGAGACCCGUGUGCAUUGUUGAUUUUUCACACUAUGCAGACUGCUUUGGUAACAAGGAGGAAGGUGCGGGCUACGUUAGGUGAGUACGGCCCGAAUCCCCUGGGCGACACGCGCGCGGCAAUGCUAUAUUCAAAGAGAUGCAACUCUGAAAAGAGAAGCUAAUCCCAUAAAGUAUAGCCUAGUUCAGAUUGAGCGUUGCAACUCGCGCUCAUGACGAUGGAAUCCGUAGUAAUCGUUUGUUAGCAACGAACGGUAAAUAAGUCCCUGCUCCUUGCACACACUGCCCGUCAAACCAACCGAGUUAUGUUUUG